rnacentral:rRNA from 1 species
UACGUAGGGUGCAAGCGUUGUCCGGAUUUACUGGGCGUAAAGAGCGCGCAGGCGGUCGUUCAAGUCGCGUGUGAAAGCCCCCGGCUCAACUGGGGAGGGUCACGCGAUACUGAUCGACUCGAAGGCAGGAGAGGGUAGUGGAAUUCCCGGUGUAGUGGUGAAAUGCGUAGAUAUCGGGAGGAACACCAGUGGCGAAAGCGGCUACCUGGCCCAUUCUUGACGCUGAGGCGCGAAAGCUAGGGGAGCAAACGGG